UACAGAGGGUACAAGCGUUGCUCGGAAUCAUUGGGCGUAAAGGGUAGGUAGGUGGUCUCAUUUGUCCGGGGUGAAAUCCUUGAGCUUAACUCAAGAAGUGCCCUGGAAACGGUGAGACUGGAGUCCUGGAGAGGGUCGUGGAAUUCCCGGUGUAGCGGUGAAAUGCGUAGAGAUCGGGAGGAACACCAGAGGCGAAGGCGGCGACCUGGACAGGUACUGACACUGAACUACGAAAGCGUGGGGAGCAAACAGGAUUAGAUACCCUGGUAGUCCACGCUGUAAACGAUGAGUACUAGACUUGGUGGGUCUUGACCCCUGCCGAGUCGGAGCUAACGCAAUAAGUACUCCGCCUGGGAAGUACGGUCGCAAGACUAAA
rnacentral:rRNA from 1 species